AUCCAGUUUAUGAGUUCCAAAUAGGACGAAACGAGCGUCCUGGAU
rnacentral:hammerhead_ribozyme from 1 species